rnacentral:rRNA from 1 species
CCUGCCGGAGGCUACCGCUAUUGGAGUUCGAUUAAGCCAUGCGAGUCGUGAGUCCUAGGGACUCGGCGUACCGCUCAGUAACACGUGGGUAACCUGCCCUAUGCUGGGGAAUAACCUCGGGAAACUGAGAAUAAUGCCCCAUAGUUCACCACACCUGGAACGGUGGGUGGAUGAAAGCUCCGGCGGCAUAGGAUGGGCCUGCGGCGUAUCAGGUUGUAGGGGGUGUAAUGUACCCUCUAGCCAUCUACGCGUACGGGUGUUGAGAGACAUCGCCCGGAGAUGGAUUCUGAGACACGAAUCCAGACCCUACGGGGUGCAGCAGGCGCGAAAACUUGGCAAUGCGAGCAAUCGUGACCAGGGAACUCCAAGUGCAUCGGGUAAGACCGAUGCUUUUCUUGACUCUUCAAAGGUCUUGGAAUAAGGGGUGGGUAAGGACGGUGCCAGCCGCCGCGGUAAUACCGGCGCCUCAAGUGGUAGUCGCUUUUAUUGGGCCUAAAACGUCCGUAGCCGGUUUGGUACAUUCGUGGGUAAAUCAAGACGCUCAACGUCUUGAAUUCUGCGAGCACGGCCAGACUUGGGACCGGGUGAGGUGUGGGGUACUCUCAGGGUAGGGGUAAAAUCCUGUCAUCCUGAGAGGACCACCUGUUGCGAAGGCGCCACACUAGAACGGAUCCGACGGUCAGGGACGAAGCCUAGGGGCACGAACCGGAUUAGAUACCCGGGUAGUCCUAAGGUGUAAACGCUGUGGACUUGAUGUUGGGAGUGCUCCGAGCACCCUCAGUGUCGAAGCGAAGGUGAUAAGUCCACUGCCUGGGGAGUANCGGUCGCAAGGCUGAAACUUAAAGGAAUUGGCGGGGGAGCACUGCAACCUGAGGAUUGUGCGGUUUAAUUGGAUUCAACGCCGGA